rnacentral:pre_miRNA from 1 species
UCUUCAUUCCACGUUCUCUCUCGUCACUCUGACCGGCGAGAGAGUAUGAGAAAUGAAGAGA